rnacentral:rRNA from 1 species
AAUACGUAGGGGGCAAGCGUUGUCCGGAUUUAUUGGGCGUAAAGAGCGUGUAGGCGGCCAAGCAGGUCCGCUGUGAAAACUCGAGGCUCAACCUCGAGACGUCGGUGGAAACCGUUUGGCUAGAGUCCGGAAGAGGAGAGUGGAAUUCCCGGUGUAGCGGUGAAAUGCGCAGAUAUCGGGAAGAACACCCGUGGCGAAGGCGGCUCUCUGGGACGGUACUGACGCUGAGACGCGAAAGCGUGGGGAGCGAACAG